rnacentral:tRNA from 1 species
UCCUCUGUAGCUCAAUGGUAGAGCAGGUCGCUGUUAACGACAAGGUUAGAGGUUCGAGUCCUCUCGGAGGAGCCA